UACAGAGGUCUCAAGCGUUGUUCGGAUUCAUUGGGCGUAAAGGGUUCGUAGGCGGUUUGUCGCGUCUGCUGUGAAAACCCGAGGCUCAACCUCGGGCCUGCAGUGGGUACGGGCAGACUAGAGUGCUGUAGGGGAGACUAGAAUUCCUGGUGUAGCGGUGAAAUGCGCAGAUAUCAGGAGGAACACCGGUGGCGAAGGCGGGUCUCUGGGCAGUAACUGACGCUGAGGAGCGAAAGCGUGGGGAGCAAACAGG
rnacentral:rRNA from 1 species